AUUAAACGCUGGCGGCAUGCCUUACACAUGCAAGUCGAACGGCAGCACGGGGGCAACCCUGGUGGCGAGUGGCGAACGGGUGAGUAAAGCAUCGGAACGUGCCCUGGAGUGGGGGAUAACGUAGCGAAAGUUACGCUAAUACCGCAUAUUCUGUGAGCAGGAAAGCAGGGGAUCGCAAGACCUUGCGCUCUGGGAGCGGCCGAUGUCGGAUUAGCUAGUUGGUGGGGUAAAGGCCUACCAAGGCGACGAUCCGUAGCGGGUCUGAGAGGAUGAUCCGCCACACUGGGACUGAGACACGGCCCAGACUCCUACGGGAGGCAGCAGUGGGGAAUUUUGGACAAUGGGCGAAAGCCUGAUCCAGCCAUGCCGCGUGAGUGAAGAAGGCCUUCGGGUU
rnacentral:rRNA from 1 species